rnacentral:rRNA from 1 species
CAUGCUUACCAUGCAAGUCGAACGAUGAUGCCCAGCUUGCUGGGUGGAUUAGUGGCGAACGGGUGAGUAACACGUGAGUAACCUGCCCCUGACUCUGGGAUAAGCGUUGGAAACGACGUCUAAUACUGGAUAUGAUUGCCGGCCGCAUGGUCUGGUGGUGGAAAGAUUUUUUGGUUGGGGAUGGACUCGCGGCCUAUCAGCUUGUUGGUGAGGUAAUGGCUCACCAAGGCGACGACGGGUAGCCGGCCUGAGAGGGUGACCGGCCACACUGGGACUGAGACACGGCCCAGACUCCUACGGGAGGCAGCAGUGGGGAAUAUUGCACAAUGGGCGAAAGCCUGAUGCAGCAACGCCGCGUGARGGAUGACGGCCUUCGGGUUGUAAACCUCUUUUAGUAGGGAAGAAGCGAAAGUGACGGUACCUGCAGAAAAAGCACCGGCUAACUACGUGCCAGCAGCCGCGGUAAUACGUAGGGUGCAAGCGUUGUCCGGAAUUAUUGGGCGUAAAGAGCUCGUAGGCGGUUUGUCGCGUCUGCUGUGAAAUCCCGAGGCUCAACCUCGGGCUUGCAGUGGGUACGGGCAGACUAGAGUGCGGUAGGGGAGAUUGGAAUUCCUGGUGUAGCGGUGGAAUGCGCAGAUAUCAGGAGGAACACCGAUGGCGAAGGCAGAUCUCUGGGCCGUAACUGACGCUGAGGAGCGAAAGCAUGGGGAGCGAACAGGAUUAGAUACCCUGGUAGUCCAUGCCGUAAACGUUGGGCGCUAGAUGUAGGGACCUUUCCACGGUUUCUGUGUCGUAGCUAACGCAUUAAGCGCCCCGCCUGGGGAGUACGGCCGCAAGGCUAAAACUCAAAGGAAUUGACGGGGGCCCGCACAAGCGGCGGAGCAUGCGGAUUAAUUCGAUGCAACGCGAAGAACCUUACCAAGGCUUGACAUACACCGGAAACGKCCAGAGAUGGUCGCCCCCUUGUGGUCGGUGUACAGGUGGUGCAUGGUUGUCGUCAGCUCGUGUCGUGAGAUGUUGGGUUAAGUCCCGCAACGAGCGCAACCCUCGUUCUAUGUUGCCAGCGGGUUAUGCCGGGGACUCAUAGGAGACUGCCGGGGUCAACUCGGAGGAAGGUGGGGAUGACGUCAAAUCAUCAUGCCCCUUAUGUCUUGGGCUUCACGCAUGCUACAAUGGCCGGUACAAAGGGCUGCGAUACCGUAAGGUGGAGCGAAUCCCAAAAAGCCGGUCUCAGUUCGGAUUGAGGUCUGCAACUCGACCUCAUGAAGUCGGAGUCGCUAGUAAUCGCAGAUCAGCAACGCUGCGGUGAAUACGUUCCCGGGCCUUGUACACACCGCCCGUCAAGUCAUGAAAGUCGGUAACACCCGAAGCCGGUGGCCUAACCCUUGUGGAAGGAGCCGUCG